rnacentral:snRNA from 1 species
AUCGCUUCUUGGCCUUUUGGCUAAGAUCAAGUGUAGUAUCUGUUCCCUAUAUCUAUAUACUCACUAUAAAAUAUAUAACAAACUUACUUUUGGGUUGUUAGAUUUUGGACUCAGCCUUCUAAAUUCAAGCCCCAGGUCCC